rnacentral:rRNA from 1 species
AGCGAACGCUGGCGGCAGGCCUAACACAUGCAAGUCGAACGAACUCUUCGGAGUUAGUGGCGGACGGGUGAGUAACACGUGGGAACGUGCCUUUAGGUUCGGCAUAACUCAGGGAAACUUGUGCUAAUACCGAAUGUGCCCUUCGGGGGAAAGAUUUAUCGCCUUUAGAGCGGCCCGCGUCUGAUUAGCUAGUUGGUGAGGUAAAGGCUCACCAAGGCGACGAUCAGUAGCUGGUCUGAGAGGAUGAUCAGCCACAUUGGGACUGAGACACGGCCCAAACUCCUACGGGAGGCAGCAGUGGGGGAUCUUGCGCAAUGGGCGAAAGCCUGACGCAGCCAUGCCGCGUGAAUGAUGAAGGUCUUAGGAUUGUAAAAUUCUUUCACCGGGGACGAUAAUGACGGUACCCGGAGAAGAAGCCCCGGCUAACUUCGUG